rnacentral:rRNA from 1 species
UACAGAGGGUGCGAGCGUUGUCCGGAAUCACUGGGCGUAAAGGGCGCGUAGGUGGCCCGUUAAGUGGCUGGUGAAAUCCCGCGGCUCAACUGCGGGGCUGCCGGUCAUACUGGCGAGCUAGAGCACGGUAGGGGCAGAUGGAAUUCCCGGUGUAGCGGUGGAAUGCGUAGAGAUCGGGAAGAAUACCAGUGGCGAAGGCGUUCUGCUGGGCCGUUGCUGACACUGAGGCGCGACAGCGUGGGGAGCAAACAGG